UUUUUUUGAGAAUGAUUGUCCCUUUUCAAGUAUCGGAAAUAGUACUCUGAACUGUGCUUCUCCAUUUUCUCAUUUCUCCACAGCGAAAAAGAAGCAGCAGAGAAAUCAAUACUGCUCAAAAUUGACGAACCAAUGGAUCACAGCUCUGAAGAAGAAUCUGACAUCAGUGAUUCAGAGAUCAAUGACUACAAGGAUAAGCCAUAUGAAGAAUUGAAGUCUGGAAAAUACAAAGUAAAAGUAAAUGGCAGCUUAAGAUGUCCAUUCUGUGCUGGGAAAAAGAAGCAGGAUUACAAGUAUAAGGAUUUGCUUCAACAUGCAUCAGGAGUUGCUAAAGGUUCUGCCAACAGGAGUGGAAAACAAAAGGCAAACCACCUUGCCUUAGCAAUAUAUUUGGAGACUGACCUAACUGAUGAAGUAGAUCAAAGUCAGCGCCCAGUUUUGCCACAGCCUGUCAAUCCGACUCCUGAGCAAGAAAUGGAUGUCUUUGUUUGGCCAUGGAUGGGAAUUGUAGUUAACAUAGUGAAUGAAGCAAAAGAUAGGAAUGCUUUGCAAGAUAGUGGGUAUUGGUUGAAAAAGUUUGCUCUGUAUAAACCAUUGGACAUAUAUACUUUCUGGAGUGAAGAAGAUCAAACUGGAAUGGCUGUUCUAAAAUUUAACAACGACUGGAAUGGGUUUAUUAAUGCAACUGAAUUUGAGAAAUCAUUUGAAACUUCGCAUCACAGUAAAAAGAACUGGAAAGAGCUAAAAGCAAAUCCUGGCUCAACUAUUUAUGGCUGGUGUGCUCGUGCUGAUGAUUAUGAUACUGAGGGUCUGGUAGGAGAAUAUCUUCGAAAGGAAGGAAAGUUGAGAACAAUUUCUGGCAUUGUACAAGAAGCAACUGAAAGCAGAAAUGUUGUUGUGGCACACCUGGCCAAUAAAAUUGAUCAGACAAAUGAAAAUUUAGACGAACUCCAAUAUAAAUACAAUGAGAAGACCAUGUCCUUGAGUCGGAUGCUUGAAGAAAAAGACAAACUGCACUAUGCUUUCCUUGAAGAAACAAGGAAGAUGCAGCGACUUGCUCGUGAUAAUGUACACAGAAUCUUGGAAGAGCAGGAAAAUAUGAGUGAAGAAUUGGAGGCUAAGAAGAGGAAACUUGAUUCCUGGAGCAAAGAACUUAACAAACGUGAAGCACUUACUGAGCGCGAGAGGCAAAAACUUGAUGAAGAGAAGAAACAGAAUGAUGAGAGAAACAAUUCACUUCAGUUGGCAUCCAUAGAGCAGAAGAAGGCUGAUGAGAAUGUUUUGAGGCUGGUUGAAGAGCAAAAGAGGGAGAAAGAAGAGGCCCUAAAUAAGAUUCUUCAGUUGGAAAUGCAGUUGGAUGCCAAACAGAAGUUGGAAAUGGAAAUUCAGGAGUUAAAAGGGAAAUUACAGGUGAUGAAGCAUCUUGGUGAUGAAGAUGAUACAGCUGUCCAAAAUAAGAUGAAAGAGAUGAAUGAUGAGCUCGAGCAAAAAGUAGAUGAUUUAGCUGAUGUGGAAAGUCUGAAUCAAACUCUUAUCACGAAAGAACGCCAGAGCAAUGAUGAGCUACAAGAAGCACGCAAAGAACUAAUUCUGGGUUUAAAAGAUACAUUGGCAUCAAGUGUUCGAACAAAUAUUGGAAUAAAGAGAAUGGGUGAAAUUGAUCAGAAGGCAUUCCUUAAUACAUGCAAGCAAAAGUUUGCAACUGAGGAAGCUCAGGUUCAGGCCUCUACUCUAUGCAGCUUGUGGCAGGAGAAUUUGAAGGAUCCAAACUGGCAUCCAUUCAAAAUUGUCACUGACGCUGAAGGGAAACAUGAGGAAAUAGUAGAUGAAGAAGAUGAGAAACUGCAAAAUCUCAAGCAGGAGUGGGGAGGUGACAUUUACAUGGCAGUUGUUACUGCUUUAAAAGAGAUAAACGAGUAUAAUCCGAGUGGGAGAUAUGUUACUCCUGAGCUUUGGAACUUCAAAGAAGGAAGGAAAGCCACGUUGAAGGAGGUGAUUGGUUAUAUUGUGAAGAAUAUCAAGACACUAAAGCGCAAGAGAUGAAGGGAAGUUAUUGAUAAGUACAGAGGAAUGUUGUUAUUGAUAUAUGAAAUGAUCUGUUGAUUCUGUUGGAAUUGCCGAAUCGGAUUCAUCAAAUGAAACACGACAAACGCGUGCUGGUUGUUCCCGUGGAAGAAAUGGAAGCUGAGUUUGGCGGCACGAGAGGUAUGUUAAAUCUGUAACCAAUGAAUCAGAAGCUAGGACCAUAAUUUUUCAGGGUAAUUUUUAUGCUUGCUCCAUCUGGAUGCAUUCCACCGAGAAUUGUUGGAUUGGAUUGUGUUCGCUAAUGAAUUAUGUACUUAAUUUCUAUAUUCAUGCAUAGCCACAAUAAAACACGAGGAUCAUUUUAAAUGCA